rnacentral:tRNA from 1 species
CGGGAACUAGCUCAGAUGGUAGAGCGCUACGUUCGGGACGUAGAGGUCGUGAGUUCAAGUCUCGCGUUCCCGA